UGAGAACUGAACAAAACCUCACUCCAAAUCAGUUGUGGGAACUGGGACAGAUCGGACAUUCAGUGGUUGACCCAGAGAUUCCCCAUAUAAACUGGGAGGAAAGUGGGCUUGUUCCUGAUCCACAUGCUGAAUUGCGAGUACCAGAGUUGGACAGCCCACUUACAGAAGAUCAGAUGGAGCUUCUCCGUGAAAACAUUGACCCCCUACAACCUUCAGAGUCUAGUGGCAUGGACAUUUACAUGGAUACUCUGCAAUAUUUGGAAACUUUACUUGUGACAAAUUAGAUGUCACUUAAAUUUAAAUGUUUGUAAUGAACAGCAUUUUCAAUACCAUUUAUUUAAAAAAUCCAUCAAACAUGUACAAAUAUACAAGCAAGUACAAGCUAGAGAAAGAACCAGCUGGCAAAAAUGUUAACUUUAUAAAGUUUAAUGUACACCAGAAACAUGAAAAUUAUUUUAUGUUUGAAUGCCAAACAUUUGUGGAAUAUUUCAGCAAAAAACCACAUGAUGAACAGGGAUGCCUGACAAACAUUUAGUAGUCACCUCAGGAACACAACUUCAUGUCAAGACUGUGUUGAUGGACAUUAUUUGUAAAAAAAAAAAAAAAAAAAA